GGCGGCGUGGCUCGGUGGAAAGAGCCCGGGCUCGGGAGUCGGAGGACGUGGGUUCUAACCCCGGCUCCGCCG
rnacentral:tRNA from 1 species